UCCGACUAAAAUCAUAAUUUAUUUAUAAAUUCUAAUGAGCACUCAAACAAUAAAUCUCUAACCCAAAUUACAUGCUAAAACCAUGGAGCAUCUAAUAGAGUAAUAGAAAUUUAACAAACGGGCAUGCAAACCCGAAAGAAAUAAUAAACAUAAGAUAGGUGGAACUGAAAUAACGACCUCCACGAAUAAUGCGACGGCUCACCCCGGCAACAGAAUCCACUCAACGAACUCGUUAGCCACUAGUCUCGUCCUCAACAACAUUAUCUGCAUGGACAUGCAGGUAAGGAGUGAGUUAUACAUAAAUAUAACCCAGUAAGAUCCUUGACCCGCCACUUUGAAUACCCCUGGAAUAAGUGUUAGAAAAUACAAACACACAACGAGCACAGAAAUAAUAUGCAUAGAAAUUCUUUCACCAUAUAAUUAUUUUAUAUGGUCCAAAUAAUUAUUCAACAACAAUACUAUAUAUAUCUCAACACAUUCUACACUAAGGAUUUGUAAUUAACAGUAGUGCAGGAAAUUAACCAAACACCCCAACGAGUCCACAACAGCAUACACAAUGCCUCAAAUCUACCACGACGGCAUAUACAAUGCCCCAAAUAUAUUACGGCUGCAAAGACCACCGAUUUUGCUAAGUGUACGCUCGUCCCAACACAUGGACCAUGCAGAAAAAAUAUACUUUCAAAACGGAUUUUGAAAAAGCAAGUAUCAAAGCUUAAAGUCUCACUUACUUCGCUAACGGAAAAUUUUCCAAUCUUGCAACGUCCAACCAACCAAUCAAACGGCCUCUAAUGACCUCAAUCUAUCCAAAAUAUUAAUUACGAUAUCAAUGAUGUUAGUCGGGGUCAAAUCUCAAUAUUCCUAACUUUUAGGAUUAGAGCUAAACCUCAACACUCUAUGCUUUAAAUUAUAAACGUGAAGGUAAAAUCAUAUCUCAAUAUUACAAUCUUAUAGAUACUUUAUAUGUAAUUUAUCUUUAUGAAUAACUCAUGAUCCAUGGGUAGUAAUUCAAAGGUAAAGAAAAUACCUUGAAACCUGUAACUUGUAGUUAUCAAAGUUGUAGCAAAAACUGAUGCCUCUUAGCUUUUUUCUUUUCGCACAAUUCUUAGUAGCUAAAACUGUUUCUUUCCCAAAUAUCACUUAGAAUAAUGAAUGGGUACAAAAACCAAAUCAAUUGGCAUCUUAAUCUCCACGUGAAGAGUGCCGUCGUUGGUUCUCGGUUUCUUUUCUUUGUGCGAGUUCUUUCC
rnacentral:lncRNA from 1 species